CCCUUAGAUGUUCUGGGCCGCACGCGCGCUACACUGAUGCAUUCAACGAGUUUCUUCCUGGUCCGAGAGGAAUGGGUAACCUUUUGAAAGUGCAUCGUGAUAGGGAUAGACUAUUGCAAUUAUUGGUCUUCAACGAGGAAUUCCUAGUAGACGUAGUUCAUCAGACUGCAUCGAUUACGUCCCUGCCCUUUGUACACACCGCCCGUCGCUCCUACCGAUGGGUGAUCCGGUGAAUGAUUCGGACUCGGUUGCCUCUAGCCACUAGUGGCGCUCGAGAAAGUUUUGUGAACCUUAUCACUUGGAGGAAGGAGAAGUCGUAACA
rnacentral:rRNA from 1 species